UACUCACUACAGAUGAUCAACAUAUUGAAAUACAAGUAUAGUAGGCUUCUUAAUUAUAAUACUAAAAUUUCAAAAAACGACAUUCUCUAAUCGUUCUAUUUUUCUAGAAAGCAGGUUCCCAUAAGCUAAUAAAGUUGCAAAUCACAAUUACCUGGAAACGUCUAUCAAAACGGAUGUAACAUUUCCAGCUACUUCUCAACGUAAAUAUCUGAAAUUUAAUCUCUUGCCAUUCUGAGAUCAACUUCUGCAAAUGCAAGAAUAAAAUAAAUGAAUCGCCUGAAAAUGGAGCCAGCAUGCAAAGGCCUUCUGAAUGUCUUCACCAGGAAAAUGUUGCCUACCUUGGAUGGAACCAUUUGAAGUGCUAAAAGAGGACAAGAAAUUUUUCCAGGAAGCAAACCAUUACUACUUGAAACUAUCUAUCAAAACAGAAGCAGAAUUUACAAUUAUUUAUCAACGUAAUAAGACUUGGUUAAUGUUACUGAUAUCCUUCAGAAUAAUUGAGGUUGGAUUAGAUUUUGAUGCAUAGUAACCUUUUGUUCAAUAAAGGGUCCCCAUUUACACUAAAAGUGAGAUUGCUGUCUCCGUUACCACACUUAUUAUGAACCGACAUCUAUUGCGAUGUAUGUUGUGAAAUGCUCACUGCAGAUGACAUUGAAAUGUUGGAAAAUCAAGUAUCCUUUCGUUUCUUAUUUAUAAUAUUGAAAUCACAAAAAUGACAUUCUCUAACCAUUUUAUUUGAUUUUCCAGAAAACAUUGAACUGCAAGGAGGCAAACCAUAAUUACUCGUCAACAUCUAUUAAAACGGAUGCAUAAUUUCUAGCUAUUUCUGAAAAUAGAAAAGCAGAGGAACUGAAGCGCGUGCCAUCCCGAGAUCAUCUUUCGUGAGUAGAGGGACCGAACAAAUCAAUCGCCAGAGCAUGGAAUCAACAUGCGACAGCCUUUUGCAUGUCUCCUCGUCACAAGUAAAAUGUUGCCAGGCCAGAAACCUUUUUAAUGUGCAGAAAUAGAACAAGAAAUAUUUCCAGCGACUACUUCAGUUUCUGACAAAUUCUCUACCAGCAAUCUGGGUGAUCGAGAAAUUUAUUUUCUCGGAAUGGUAUCGUAGAGAUAACGAAAGCAAGUUUUCUGAAGCCAUGCGGAGGCAAACUACAUAUAAUUUAUGUGGAAGCUUCUAUUAAGACAGAAGCGGGCUUUCCAGCUAUUUCUCAACAGAAGAAAGUUACCUGAAUGAUUCUGAAGCGAUAUCGGCAUGUUGCAAGAAUUUCGGUUUUGAUCUAUAGUCAUGAUCUUUUGCUGACUACAGGUUUAUCACUUAUCACCAGAAGAUACUGCUUUCUUGGCUCCACACAUGCUCUGAUCUGACAUCAACUAAGCUGGAUGCUAUGAAAUACUCACUACUGAUGACAAGGCAAAUUUCCAGUAAGCUGCAAGGAGACAAACCACAAUCAUCUGUAAAUAUCCAGCAAAACAGAAGCAGCAUAUCCAGUUAUUUCUCAAUAUGGGAAUCGUCGAAUUUGAAACGCUUGCCAUUCCGAGAUCAACUUCUGCAACUAUAGUGUCUGUAGAAAUCGGUCUAUUGAGAAUGAAUCUACCAUGUGACAGCCUUCUGCAAGUCCUCCUCACCACUAAAAUGUUGCUCUGCUAUAAGCCGCUUCACGUACAGUGACAGAACGUGAAAUGUUGGGUGUCUGUUAAGAAUACGCCUUCGUCGAUGUGAUCCUGGAAUAAGACAAUACCUGGACCCUUCAUCAAGCGCAUAUUGGAGUGCGGAUGCUGCACAGUUCAAUUACGGACGAAGACUAUAUUUGAAUUUUUAUAUUAUCAAUAUGUUCAGAAGCAAAUUUCAAACGGAACUAAUUGACUCAAUGGAAGAAACGGAUAUUAUAAAAACAGCGGUAUAACAAAUUUGUAACAAAACCUAGAUUUAAUUUUCGCAAAUAAUAAUAUAAAUUGCAUUUGAGAACAUAUUUGUUAUUACUAAAUUUGAUAAGAAUUGUUUGACAUGACAGAUUGCCACUAUACAACUUUAAAAAUCUUGGAUUUUCAUUACUGUAAUCUUUCUAUUAUAUCGGCAGAAUUUCUUUCCAUUUACAAACCAAUUUUAUAAAGAAAACUGAACCACUUCGUUGUAACUGAAGCCAUUUCUUGACCUUGUUUAUUUCUAAAUCUUCAUUUUGUGAUUUUGAAUGACGAUUAUAAAAGAAUCCUUCAUAUUCGAAUAGGUGUUUCAUUCCUGUAUCUAUAACGAAAUUUGGAUUUUGAUCUCUGUAAUGCUAGUAUCAAUUAUGUAAAUGAAUUUCAUUAAAUUUCCCUUAGUUAUCAAUCUCGAAAUCUCGAUAAUCAGAGCUUCAAUCUACAAGUUUAUUAAUAUGUGGCGUUUAAUAUGUACUUGUGUUUGAUUA